rnacentral:rRNA from 1 species
AGCGAACGCUGGCGGCAGGCUUAACACAUGCAAGUCGAGCGGGCACUUCGGUGUCAGCGGCAGACGGGUGAGUAACACGUGGGAACGUACCCUUCGGUUCGGAAUAACGCUGGGAAACUAGCGCUAAUACCGGAUACGCCCUUUUGGGGAAAGGUUUACUGCCGAAGGAUCGGCCCGCGUCUGAUUAGCUAGUUGGUGGGGUAAUGGCCUACCAAGGCGACGAUCAGUAGCUGGUCUGAGAGGAUGAUCAGCCACACUGGGACUGAGACACGGCCCAGACUCCUAGGGAGGGCAGCGGUGGGGAAAAUUGGAAAAGGGGCGCAAGCCUAAUCCAGCCAGGCCGCGUGAGUGAUGAAGGCCUUAGGGUUGUAAGCUCUUUUGUCCGGGAUGAUAAUGACGGUACCGGAAGAAUAAGCCCCGGCUAACUUCGUG